GACGAACGCUGGCGGCGUGCCUAAUACAUGCAAGUCGAACGCAGUGGGGACGGGUGAGUAACACGUGGGUAACCUCCCAUCAGAGGGGAUAACACUUGGAAACAGGUGCUAAACCGAUACUGAUGGAUGGACCCGCGGUGCAUUAGCUAGUUGGUGAGGUAACGGCUCACCAAGGCCACGAUGCAUAGCCGACGUGAGAGUGUGAUCGGCCACACUGUGACGGAGAUACGGCCCAGUCUCCUAGUGGAGGCCGCAGUAGGUAAUCGUUGGAAAUGGACGAAAUUCUGACCGAGCCACGCCGCGUGAGUGAAGAAGGUUUGCGGAUCGUAAAACUCUGUGGUUAGAGAAUCGGUAUCUAACCAGAAAGCCACGUCUAACUACGUGCCAGCCGCCGCGGUAAUAC
rnacentral:rRNA from 1 species